rnacentral:rRNA from 1 species
GUGAGGAAUAUUGGACAAUGGGCGCAAGCCUGAUCCAGCCAUGCCGCGUGCAGGAAGACGGCCCUAUGGGUUGUAAACUGCUUUUAUACGGGAGCAAUAAGGUCUAUGCAUAGAUUGAUGAGAGUACCGUAUGAAUAAGCAUCGGCUAACUCCGUGCCAGCAGCCGCGGUAAUACGGAGGAUGCGAGCGUUAUCCGGAUUUAUUGGGUUUAAAGGGUGCGUAGGCGGCUUUGUAAGUCAGCGGUGAAAUUUUGCAGCUUAACUGUAAAAGCGCCGUUGAUACUGUGAAGCUAGGAUUUGGUUGCUGUGGGCGGAAUGUGUGGUGUAGCGGUGAAAUGCAUAGAGAUCACACAGAAUAUCGAUUGCGAAGGCAGCUCACAAAGCCAAUAUUGACGCUGAGGCACGAAAGUGUGGGGAUCAAACAGGAUUAGAUACCUGGGUAGUCC